rnacentral:pre_miRNA from 1 species
AGAAGGAACAACCAGUGUGGCGGUGGCCAGCUCACCAGCUCUGGAGUCAGCUCCUGCAGUAACUACAGAGCUCUCUGUCUGCAGGAGCCUGGAUUCUCCAGGGACAG